rnacentral:rRNA from 1 species
AACAAACGCUGGCGGCGUGCAUAACACAUGCAAGUCUGACGGGAAAGUCGGCUUCGGCUGGCAAGUACCGUGGCGAACGGGUGAGUAACACGUGGGUAAUCUAACCUCGAGUUUGGGAUAGCCCUGCGAAAGCGGGGCUAAUACCGAAUAAGACCACGCCUGGUCCGCCACGCGCGGUAAAAGGCGGCCUCUUCAUGACAGCUGUCACUCGGGGAUGAGCCCGCGGCCUAUUAGCUAGGUGGUGGGGUAAUGGCCUACCAAGGCGACGAUGGGUAGCCGGCCUGAGAGGGUGUACGGCCACACUGGCACUGAGAUACGGGCCAGACUCCUACGGGAGGCAGCAGUGGGGAAUUUUGCGCAAUGGGGGAAACCCUGACGCAGCAACGCCGCGUGAGUGAUGAAGGCCUUCGGGUCGUAAAGCUCUUUUAGUGGGGAAGAAUCCCACCCGGGCUAAUACCUCGGGUGUCUGACGGUACCCACAGAAAAAGUUCCGGCUAACUACGUGCCAGCCGCCGCGGUAAAAC